GGUAGCGUGGCCGAGUGGUUUAAGGCGCUGGCCUUUGUUCAUUUUUUAGGCACCAGUCUUUCGAGGCGCGGGUUCAAAUCCCGCAGUUGCCU